GGAAGUAAAAGUCGUAACAAGGUUUCCGUAGGUGAACCUGCGGAAGGAUCAUUACUGAUUUGGCGGACCGAGCGUCAGCGAGGUUCCGCGAUCACCUGUAUUUAAAACCCACACUUUUGAAUUAUAUGUAUAUUUUUGUAUUUUUGAUAAAAAAAAGAUCACUUUCAACAACGGAUCUCUUGGCUCUCGCAUCGAUGAAGAACGUAGCGAAGUGCGAUAAGUAAUGUGAAUUGCAGUAUUCCGUGAAUCAUCGAAUCUUUGAACGCAUAUUGCACUUUCUGGUAUUCCGGAAAGUAUGCCUGUUUGAGGGUCAGUUAAAUAAAAAUCGGUGUUGUUGCUGCCUUUCGUGGUGACGCGUCGGAAUUGAGUUGUCUUACCCUUCGGUUAAGUGACUUAAAAUUUUGCAUGAUUUUCGAACGUAUUUAAAUUGCUUACGUACGUUUGAGAUAUCGAAUACUUUUAUUAGGUUCGGUCAUCCUCAUGACUCGCGCCUAUAAUUUUUCAUUAAAUGACCUCAAAUCAGGUAAGAAUACCCGCUGAACUUAAGCAUAUCAAUAAGCGGAGGA
rnacentral:rRNA from 1 species